rnacentral:rRNA from 1 species
UACGAAGGGUGCAAACGUUGCUCGGAAUUAUUGGGGCGUAAAGCGCACGUAGGCGGCUUAGCAAGUUGGAUGUGAAAGCCCUCGGCUUAACCAAGGAAGUGCAUCCAAAACUGCUGAGCUUGAGUAGUUAAGAGGAUCGCGGAAUUCCCGGUGUAGAGGUGAAAUUCGUAGAUAUCGGGAGGAACACCAGUGGCGAAGGCGGCGAUCUGGGGAACAUACUGACGCUGAGGUGCGAAAGCGUGGGGGAGCAAACAGGG